rnacentral:rRNA from 1 species
CGGUAACAGCUCAAAUUUGAAAUCUGGCCUGUAUGGGUCCGAGUUGUAAUUUGUAGAGGAUGUUUCGGGCAAGGCAGUGGUUUAAGUUUCUUGGAACAGAACGUCAUAGAGGGUGAGAGCCCCGUCU